AAAAAGUGGUGGAUUUGUGGGCACAUCUAUUGAACGUCGGGGAGAAGAAACGAGGUUCUAGCUCUAUUUCAAGAUAUUUUGUUCCCAUGCCACACAUGAUGUUGUUGUACCUUUCACUCAAUUCUUAUGAUGAAUUCUGCAAAUUAUUAGAACAAGAUCUCCCUUCUGCAAAUAUUGAUAUCACAAAAGUACAACUUAUGUGUUUCACAAUUCAAGACCCUCGUUGUCCAUACAUGUUCUAUUUCAACUUUCAACGACAAACAAUGGACAUCAUCGCAGUAACAAGUCUAAAUCCAGAGACUUUUAGUGAAGCAAAAACACUGG